AUUUUUAUGUUUUGUACGAUUUCAAUUGUCCAACCCGUGUACCACACGGAUAAGAUGGUGGGCCCGGUUGAUUUUGACUAAAGCUUAUAAUAUGGCCCGAUUGACUUCCUGUUAAGUGGUAUAUUGCUAAGGAUCUGCCAAACAAUUUGUUGAAGCACAUUACCUUAGAAAACGAGUAUAAUCCUAUUACCAAUAGCGGGGACUAUAUAUUUGGUUGUGUAAUUUGUUUGAUGUUUUGACUUUUUUAAUCCCACUUUUGGUUUGGUUAUUUACAUAUUUUAUUUAGUUGAAGUUAGAAUAGGGAUUGCAAGUGUUGAAGAUCUUUAAGGAGGAGUCUAGCAUGCAAUGCAUGUUAGACGAUUUUAAUUUCUAUGAACAUCGUCAACAGAGAAUUCAAGAAAAGAAAACAACAUUAGUUCAAGACACAGAUGUAGGAAGGAAAACCCAAGGAAUGAAUUAAAGUAGAGAUUGAACCACCAAAAUCAUAUGAAACUUCUCUAAGAUCUGUGAAGCAGCAAGAAAUAGUUGGCCUUAAUAGCAGCAAGAAAGGACGAAGAUCAAUGUGAUUGAUAUCCUGAUGUUUGUAAGAGAGCAUAACAUGUGGUUCUUAACAAUAGAAAGAUCAGGUGGAAGUAGUUUGCACAUCUGUGCAUUAAUAUUCUUCAAAGAAAUAGGAGAUCCAAUGAAGCUUGCGCUAUGUAUGAGAAGCUGCAGUCUCACCCAAAUGUGGGCAUGAGCAAUAAAGCGCGGCAGUUUGUGUUCAGCUUCCAAAUGUCUUCAAAGUUUUUUUUAUUAUUAUAAGUUUAUUACAAAUUCAGCUAAAUGAUGUUUACAAAUGUCUCCUUAAAUUGAAAUGGGAUGGUAACUUACUGUAUGUUAGGCAACUUAUAUGUAUAUUUUAGA